GGCCAAGUUUUUAAGGGCGCACGGUGGAUGCCUUGGCACCAGGAACCGAUGAAGGACGUGGGAGGCCGCGAUAGGCCCCGGGGAGCUGUCAACCG
rnacentral:rRNA from 1 species